rnacentral:rRNA from 1 species
UACGUAGGGGGCAAGCGUUGUCCGGAAUUAUUGGGCGUAAAGAGCGUGUAGGCGGCCAGAUAAGUCCGCUGUGAAAUCUCGAGGCUCAACUUCGAGCUGUCGGUGGAAACUAUCUGGCUAGAGUCCGGAAGAGGAGAAUGGAAUUCCUGGUGUAGCGGUGAAAUGCGUAGAUAUCGUAAGGAAGACCAGUGGCGAAGGCGGGUCUCUGGACAGUUCCUGACGCUGAGGCACGAAGGCCAGGGGAGCAAACGGG